AAUGAACGUUGGCGGUAGGCUUAACACAUGCAAGUCGAACGAGAAAUAGAUGCUUGCAUCUAUGGACAGUGGCGGACGGGUGAGUAAUACAUGGGAAUCUACCUAACUCUGGGGGAUAACUUCUGGAAACAGAAGCUAAUACCGCAUAUUCCAUAUUGGGAAAGCUCCGGCGGAGUUAGAUGAGCCCGUGGCAGAUUAGCUAGUUGGUGGGGUAAUGGCCUACCAAGGCUACGAUCUGUAGCUGGUCUGAGAGGAUGAUCAGCCACACUGGGACUGAGACACGGCCCAGACUCCUACGGGAGGCAGCAGUGGGGAAUAUUGGACAAUGGGCGCAAGCCUGAUCCAGCCAUACCGCGUGAGUGAAGAAGGCCUUUGGGUUGUAAAGCUCUUUCAGCAGUGAAGAUAAUGACAUUAACUGCAGAAGAAGUCCCGGCUAAUUCCG
rnacentral:rRNA from 1 species